CGGCUCUCUGCCUACAAGGAUCCUUGCAAUUAUGGUACAAAUGUCAUCCCUGUCAUCCAAGCCCCUUUAUGACUGCAGCCAUGUGGCCUUCUAGAUGCCAUUCAACAAGUGCCCAAAAGCCACAUCUGUGCAAAAUAAGUUGCAUGUUCCCGUUCUGGUUGAAGGCGUCACUGUGGACCAUUCUGCCAGGGAGGCCUCGGGCUGCGCGUUCUUUCUGCUGAGUUCAGACAUGCCGAGCUGGAUCCCCCCACGCUCUCUUAAGCAGCACCCAUUUGGCAACUCAAUUUAUCAAGAUGGCUGACAGGGGAGGGGUGGACACUGAGGCAUGGCAGAGUUUUCUCCCGCGGGUGCCAAAUAUCCAGUGUGGUUAUUCAAGCCCAGAUUUCAGUGCUGGGAAUUAACCAAAUUAACUAAAGCAGACCUGUCUGGGUGGCCAUGAAGAUUCAGAUGAUUUGAAAAGAUGUGAUUCACAACCCCCCUCCUACGGGGCUCCAGAAAUAAUUCCAGACCCUUGAAGAUCAUUGAAACCUAAAGCAAGAAAGAUCUUUAAGAAGUCAUCUACUGGGGGCCAGCCCAGUGGUGCAGCAGUUAAGUCCGCACUUUCCACUUUGGUGGCCUGGGGUUUGCUUGUUCAGAUCCCAGGCGCAGACCUAGCAUGGCUUAUCAAGCCACACUGUGGCAGGCGUCCCACAUAUAAAAUAGAGGACGAUUGGCACAGAUGUUAGCUCAGGGCCAAUCUUUU
rnacentral:lncRNA from 1 species